GACAGAGGGUGCAAACGUUGUUCGGAAUUACUGGGCGUAAAGCGCGUGUAGGCGGCUUUGCAAGUCAGGUGUGAAAGCCCUGGGCUCAACCUAGGAAGUGCACUUGAAACUGCAGAGCUUGAAUGCUGGAGAGGGAAGCGGAAUUCUCGGUGUAGAGGUGAAAUUCGUAGAUAUCGAGAGGAACACCGGUGGCGAAGGCGGCUUCCUGGACAGUUAUUGACGCUGAGACGCGAAAGCGUGGGGAGCGAACAGG
rnacentral:rRNA from 1 species